UACGGAGGACGCGAGCGUUAUCCGGAUUUAUUGGGUUUAAAGGGUGCGUAGGCGGGCUUUUAAGUCAGCGGUAAAAAUUCGGGGCUCAACCCCGUCCGGCCGUUGAAACUGGGGGUCUUGAGUGGGCGAGAAGAAGGCGGAAUGCGUGGUGUAGCGGUGAAAUGCAUAGAUAUCACGCAGAACCCCGAUUGCGAAGGCAGCCUUCCGGCGCCCUACUGACGCUGAGGCACGAAAGUGCGGGGAUCGAACAGG
rnacentral:rRNA from 1 species